rnacentral:lncRNA from 1 species
AAAUAAAAAAAAAAAAAAAAUAAAAAAAAAAAAAUCUAUAUAUAAGCUUUUGAUGUAGUUCACCCAACAACAACCAUGCUUAUAUGCUUAGGUCUGGAUGGCUCAUUCGGGACAUUUUUCCCAAGCUUCAAUGUACACAAAAGCUUGUUGUAGAUACUUGAUUUUCGGAUGAUGCCAAACACUUGAUGCAUUGGCAUAUAUAAUUGAUAAUGGACAGCUGAUCUGCAGUCCGGUUGGACUACACCGGUAUAAUUCAAGUAUUUUAGGCAUAUUUUGUUAAUCCAAACCGUUUAUAUUGUAGAUUUUAUUCAAAAAUUUAAUACUAUAAAAUAUCAC